GACGAACGCUGGCGGCGUGCCUAAUACAUGCAAGUCGAGCGCAGGAAGUCAUCCGAACCCUUCGGGGGGACGUUGACGGAAUGAGCGGCGGACGGGUGAGUAACACGUAAAGAACCUGCCCUCAGGUCUGGGAUAACCACGAGAAAUCGGGGCUAAUACCGGAUGGGUCAUCGGACCGCAUGGUCCGAGGAUGAAAGGCGCUCCGGCGUCGCCUGGGGAUGGCUUUGCGGUGCAUUAGCUAGUUGGUGGGGUAAUGGCCCACCAAGGCGACGAUGCAUAGCCGACCUGAGAGGGUGAUCGGCCACACUGGGACUGAGACACGGCCCAGACUCCUACGGGAGGCAGCAGUAGGGAAUCUUCCACAAUGGACGAAAGUCUGAUGGAGCAACGCCGCGUGAACGAUGAAGGCCUUCGGGUCGUAAAGUUCUGUUGUAAGGGAAGAACAAGUGCCGCAGGCAAUGGCGGCACCUGACGU
rnacentral:rRNA from 1 species